GCUAGGACGAACGCUGGCGGCGUGCUUAAUACAUGCAAGUCGAACGGAGAUUAUGAUUUCGGUUGUAAUCUUAGUGGCGAACGGGUGAGUAACGCGUGAACAACCUGACUCAGAGUGGGGGAUAACAACGGGAAACUGUUGCUAAUACCGCAUAAGACCACACUCCCGCAUGGGAGAGGGGUCAAAGAUUUAUCGCUUUGAGAGGGGUUCGCGUCCCAUUAGGUAGUUGGAGGGGUAACGGCCCACCAAGCCAACGAUGGGUAGCCGAGCUGAGAGGCUGAUCGGCCACACUGGAACUGAGACACGGUCCAGACUCCUACGGGAGGCAGCAGUAGGGAAUAUUGGGCAAUGGGCGCAAGCCUGAACCCCAGCAACGCCGCGUGAGGGAAGAAGGUUUUCGGAUUGUAAACCUCUGUCCUAUGUGACGAAGGAAGUGACGGUAGCAUAGGAGGAAGCCCCGGCUAACUACGUGCCAGCAGCUGC
rnacentral:rRNA from 1 species